rnacentral:rRNA from 1 species
UACAGAGGUGGCAAGCGUUGUUCGGAAUUACUGGGCGUAAAGGGCGCGUAGGCGGUUCGAUAAGUCCCGUGUGAAAUCCCUCGGCUCAACUGAGGAAUGGCACGGGAAACUGACGGGCUUGAGUUCGGGAGAGGGAAGCGGAAUUCCGGGUGUAGCGGUGAAAUGCGUAGAUAUCCGGAGGAACACCGGUGGCGAAGGCGGCUUCCUGGACCGACACUGACACUGAGGAGCGAAAGCCAGGGGAGCAAACGGG